rnacentral:lncRNA from 1 species
UGCGCGGCCUUGCCCCACGAUCCCCCGACAAGGGCGUCACUUCCCCGCUAAAGAAUCCCACGCUCUGUCCCCGUCCCCGCUGCUGCCUGUCUGCCCCGUGUCACGCUGUCCCCUCCGUGGGGCACCUCGCAGGGACUCCUGGGAAGACCGAAGCAUGUGCAGCCCUCUCUUCUGGGGACCCCCAGUGACCUGAGGUGGAGCCUUCAGACAGGCCCAGGAGACAGGAGGGAAACCGAGGCAUGGGAGCGCAUCCUGUCGUGUCUGCAGUGCUGGAGAGGACGUCACUGUGAGCAGCUCCAAGCGCCAGAGCCUCCGAGGCUCCGGCAGAGCCAGGCUGGUGGUGAGGGCUACAGACCGCCGGCCCAGACUUCAGGAACACACCAUCCCUCUGGGCUGAGACUGCAGGUCUGUGAUCCGGGCAUUCGCAGAGACUGAGAGCAGCGUCCCCACUCUGUCCUGGCCAUCAGCAGCAUCUCAGCCUUCAUGUGUACGGUGUCCCCAGAGUCUGCAGAG